UGAGAAUCUCUCAGCGGUGGAUGUCUGGGCUCGGACACCGAUGAAGGGCGCAGCGAAGUGCGAUGAGCAUUGCGAAUUGCAGAAUUCUGUGAAUCAAUUGGAUCUUGAACGCAUGCUGUGCUUUCGGGAUAGUCCUGAAAGCUCGUCUGCUUCAGCGUCUGCUCUAAUUU
rnacentral:rRNA from 1 species